rnacentral:tRNA from 1 species
GUUUUAAUAGUUUAAUAAAAACAUUGGUCUUGUAAACCAAAAAUAAAGAUUUUUUCUUUUAAAACU